rnacentral:rRNA from 1 species
UGGGGAAUAUUGGACAAUGGGCGCAAGCCUGAUCCAGCCAUACCGCGUGGGUGAAGAAGGCCUUCGGGUUGUAAAGCCCUUUUGUUGGGAAAGAAAUCCAGCCGGCUAAUACCUGGUUGGGAUGACGGUACCCAAAGAAUAAGCACCGGCUAACUUCGUGCCAGCAGCCGCGGUAAUACGAAGGGUGCAAGCGUUACUCGGAAUUACUGGGCGUAAAGCGUGCGUAGGUGGUCGUUUAAGUCCGUUGUGAAAGCCCUGGGCUCAACCUGGGAACUGCAGUGGAUACUGGGCGACUAGAGUGUGGUAGAGGGUAGCGGAAUUCCUGGUGUAGCAGUGAAAUGCGUAGAGAUCAGGAGGAACAUCCAUGGCGAAGGCAGCUACCUGGACCAACACUGACACUGAGGCACGAAAGCGUGGGGAGCAAACAGGAUUAGAUACCCUGGUAGUCCACGCCCUAAACGAUGCGAACUGGAUGUUGGUGCAAUUUGGCACGCAGUAUCGAAGCUAACGCGUUAAGUUCGCCGCCUGGGGAGUACGGUCGCAAGACUG